rnacentral:tRNA from 1 species
GCCUGGGUGGCGGAACUGGUAGACGCCGGCGACUUAAAAUCGCCUGCCUUCGGGCGUGCGGGUUCGAUUCCCGCCCCAGGCA